UACGAAGGGUGCAAGCGUUAAUCGGAAUUACUGGGCGUAAAGGGUGCGUAGGCGGUUAGUUAAGUCUGUUGUGAAAUCCCCGGGCUCAACCUGGGAAUGGCGAUGGUGACUGCAAGGCUAGAGUUUGGCAGAGGGGGGUAGAAUUCCACGUGUAGCAGUGAAAUGCGUAGAUAUGUGGAGGAACACCGAUGGCGAAGGCAGCCCCCUGGGUCAAAACUGACGCUCAUGCACGAAAGCGUGGGGAGCAAACAGG
rnacentral:rRNA from 1 species